CUUUCAACAACGGAUCUCUUGGUUCUGGCAUCGAUGAAGAACGCAGCGAAAUGCGAUAAGUAAUGUGAAUUGCAGAAUUCAGUGAAUCAUCGAAUCUUUGAACGCACAUUGCGCCCCCUGGUAUUCCGGGGGGCAUGCCUGUUCGAGCGUCAUUUCAA
rnacentral:rRNA from 1 species